rnacentral:ncRNA from 1 species
UAUUUUUUUUUAAAUAUAUACAACAUAGUCGCUAUUGCGACAUCUUGGAGUGUCGCUCCCAUAGCAACCACGUCGGAGAUGAUACCUCUUAACGUCUCUCUUCCCAUGUUCUUAACGUCUCUAUUUCCACCUCCAAGAUUGUCGCUCUCAUAGAAACCAUGUCGGAUCUAGUAACUCCUGGCCGUUGUUGUUGCCACCUGAUGGACGUCGUUCUUGCAAUGUCCAAGAGUGUCGCUCCCAUAGCAACCACGUCAGAGCUAAUACCUCGUCCCAUUGGUCUUGCCACCUUUGAAGCGUCUCUCUUGCCAUGUCUGAAACAUCUCACUUGCCACGUUUGCAACGUCUCAAUUGCCACGUUUGCAACGUCUCACUUGCCACGUUUGCAAUGUCUCACUUGCCACGUUUGCAAUGUCUCAAUUUCCACGUUUGAAAUGUCGGUCUUGCCACGUUUGCAACGUCUCUCUUGCCACGUUUGAAAUGUCGAUCUUGCCACGUUUGCAACGUCUCACUUGCCACAUUUGCAAUGUCUCAAUUUCCACGUUUGGAACGUCGGUCUUGCCACGUUUGCAACAUCUCUCUUGCCACGUUUGAAACGUCGCAAUAUAGACGAAAACGUGGUCGUCAGAAAAACGACGUCAUGUGAAACGAUGUUUGAGGGGGUCCGAGGUUUGUCGGUCUUCCGACAAUAGAAAGUGGAAAUUGCAUCAAACACACCGUUGAAAUUUGACCCAAAUGCAGUAGUGAAUCAAGGAGAUUCGAGGAGAGAACGUGAGAGUCAAGGAUAGAUGAGGAGAGAACACCAUGAGUAGAUCCGAGGAGAUCACAAAAGGAGUAACUCCCCAAACCCUAACAUUUGCGCAAGGGCACAUCAGAGAAGGAUAUCAAGGGUGGAGGAUACUGAGAUAGAGGGCGCAUGAAGGAGACUGAGCUAGAGGGCACACUGUGAGCAAGAUUGAGAAUGGUGAGUGGUAGUUCCACCAAUCUCACCCAGAAUUUUUUCAUUGAGAUAUGGUUUAGCCAAGUUGCCUCUAUUUUUUUUUCCCUUGUCUACCAAAAAAAAACAUGUUUUGACUGUGUGGAGCUUGGAAAGGUCAAGUUCAAUCUCAUUUGGCCCCCCUCUCUUCCCCGGAUGCAAGAAAAAAAAUAGAACGUACACAUGUUUGUCAUCCAAAAUGGACCCUGCAGCCUUCUCCUCCUCACUAUUCUCAUGAUCCAGGUCUGUCCACAUAGGCAUUGUCUACAUAGGCAUUAUCUAAAACAUUCAAUUUUGGCCCACUGGAUCUUGGACAAUGAGGCAUCACAAAAAAUAUGGAGGUUGUCCAUAGUGUUCUCUAUAGAAUAAAAAAAAAUCUAGAAGCAUUCCAUAGUGUUCUUCAUAAAAGUCUGGUCCUUAUGAAUAAUAUGAAAGAGUUGUAUGUAGAAUGUUGAUUAACCAACUAUCCAGCUCCAUGUUUUGGGAGGGGAAUGGAUUUGAUAAUAUCUUGACCAACCCCAUAAUAAAUGAGAUAAUCUAGGGCCUUUACUGCCAUUUAAAAAAGGACUUAUGUUGGAUGGACCCUGAGUGUCCCAUAUCCUAUGAUUCACACUUGUUGAUAGGUAGGAAGACUGAGGCUUUGCAGAGUGUCUCAUAAGCGUAGAGGAAAAAAUUCUCGAAUUCCAUGGCCUUGAUCAUGCCUAUAUUUGAGGGUCAUUCAAUCAUGUCAUAAGAUUUCCCAAAAAUCAAUCCCAAUGAAGAGGGUGUUGAAAUCAAGGAAACAUUUGAGGGAAUUCCAUAACUUUUUCCCCUUCAAGUAAUAUCACAGACAACAUGCACUCAUUUUCCUCCUUUCCAUCAAUCAUGUGAAUAUCCAUACAAACUAACGAAUGGAUUUCCAAUGAUUUGUCAAUAAUCCAUUUCUAUAAAAGGGCACAUUCAUCAUUAGACACAUAGAAGUUGGAUAAACCCAACAACCUUCCAUCCAGAGUCAACAAAAUUGAAACCCAUUUUUGAGAGUUGUUGGUGCCUCAUCCUAUAAUUGAUGGCAAUGUUAGGAAAUCUGAAGACGUCGUCGAUGGCCCUAGGAAGAGUUAUCUUUUCUUUUUAACAUCUUGCCCACCCUGAAAUCGUCUCAAUGAAAGAUAGGGUCCAGCAGUUGGAAGAGCAUCGCACAUCUUGUGGUGUCCGGUGUGCCCUUGGCGACCCUUGAAAAUCUGGAGGACCGAGUACCAUCCAUGCCCGGUCGUACUCAUAACCACAUCAGGUCUCCAAGGUGAACAACCUAUGGUCAAUAGAACAAUGUAGGUAAGGGAAGUCGGCAAAACGGAUCUGUAACUUCGGGAAAAGGAUUGUCUCUAAGGGUUGGGCCUAGGGGUCUACGUCCUCAACUUGUGGGUUGUCGACAGUCUUCCUGAGCUGCUAUCGCGGUGAGGGCUGGUAGUCGCGUGUCGAUUGGGCUACGGACGUAGGAUGUCCCCUCGCGGGGGAUUUUCCCUAGGCGGUGAAUAGUCAACACAUAACUGGUACGGACAAGAGGAAUCUGACUAUUUAAUUAAAACAAAGCAUUGUGAUGGUCCCUAAGAAUGCUGACACAAUGUGAUUUAUGCCCAAUUCUCUGAAUGUCAAAGUGAAGAAAUUCAACCAAGCACGGGUAAAUGAAUAGAGACUUCAAUCCUUAGAAUCCUUGAGUUCGCAGCAAGGAUCAAUAUCAGGAAGGAUAGAGACUUGGAGAAGU